rnacentral:rRNA from 1 species
GCUUGUCUCAAAGAUUAAGCCAUGCAUGUCUAAGUAUAAACAAUUCUAUACUGUGAAACUGCGAAUGGCUCAUUAAAUCAGUUAUAGUUUAUUUGAUAAUAUCUACUACUUGGAUAACCGUGGUAAUUCUAGAGCUAAUACAUGCGUAAAAACCCGACUUCGGAAGGGUUGUAUUUAUUAGAUACAAAACCAACGCAGGGCUUGCCCUGGUUUUUGGUGAUUCAUAAUAACUUUUCGGAUCGCAUGGCGCAAGCCGGCGACGUUUCAUUCAAAUUUCUGCCCUAUCAACUGUCGACUGUGAUAUAGACGCUCACAGUGGUUUUGACGGGUAACGGGGAAUCAGGGUUCGAUUCCGGAGAGGGAGCCUUAAAAACGGCUACCACAUCCAAGGAAGGCAGCAGG